rnacentral:rRNA from 1 species
GAUGAAUGCUGGCGGCGUGCUUAACACACGCAAGUCGAGCGGCAGCGCGAGUAGUUUACUACUUGGCGGCGAGCGGCGGACGGGUGAGUAAUGCCUGGGAAAUUGCCCAGUCGAGGGGGAUAACAGUUGGAAACGACUGCUAAUACCGCAUACGCCCUACGGGGGAAAGCAGGGGAGCUUCGGGCCUUGCGGGAUUGGAUAUGCCCAGGUGGGAUUAGCCAGUUGGUGAGGUAAUGGCUCACCAAGGCGCCGAUCCCUAGCUGGGCUGAGAGGAUGAGCAGCCAGGCUGGAACUGAGACACGUGCGAGCAUCCUACGGGAGGCAGAAGUGGGGAAUAUUGCACAAUGGGGGAAACCCUGAUGCAGCCAUGCCGCGUGUGUGAAGAAGGCCUUCGGGUUGUAAAGCACUUUCAGCGAGGAGGAAAGGUUGAUGCCUAAUACGUAUCAACUGUGACGUUACUCGCAGAAGAAGCACCGGCUAACUCCGUGCCAGCCGCCGCCGUAA